rnacentral:rRNA from 1 species
CGUGUAGGUGGUUGCUUAAGUCAGAUGUGAAAUCUCCCGCUCAACGGGGAAACUGCAUUUGAUACUGAGCGACUUGAGUGCAGGGGAAGGGAACGGAAUUCUCGGUGUAGCGGUGAAAUGCGUAGAUAUUGAGAAGAACACCUGUGGCGGAGGCGGUUCUCUAUCCUGUAACUGACACUGAGGCGCGAAAGCGUGGGGAGCGAACG